rnacentral:miRNA from 1 species
GUCAUUAUUUUCAUGCUUCA